CCCCGCGUGCCCUACAGCUGAUUCUGGAUGUGCUGAACUCGGAGACCAGUGAGGAUGAGGAUGACCAUGUGGUGGUGAUGGACAAGUCUGAUGAGCAGCGGCUGAAGGUUGCAGAGGAAAAGCACGAGGAUGGUGAGGAGAGCAGAGGCUCAGAGAGUGAAGAUGAAAGCGAUGUUGGGGAGAGCGAGGAGGAGGAGGAGCGUGACAGGAUGUGGACCAGGGCUUCUGGGUACAGCUGAUGAGUGUGCUGCAGGCUGCGAAGGCGCUGGGUGGAGUGGAAAGUGAGGAUGAGGAGGAGCGGGGGAUGAGGCCAUGAUGGUCCUGGACCAGAACCUCGCCAGUCUCUUUGCUGAGCAGAG